rnacentral:sRNA from 1 species
GUCGCCGCACAAUCGGCGACCGGGCUUGGCAGCCUGAAUACAAGCGGCGCAAUAGCGCCCAUCGACCGAUGUCUGGCGCUUUUUU